rnacentral:rRNA from 1 species
AUAAACGACUCUCGGCAACGGAUAUCUCGGCUCACGCAUCGCUGAAGAACGUAGCAAAAUGCGAUACUUGGUGUGAAUUGCAGAAUCCCGUGAACCAUCGAGUUUUUGAACGCAAGUUGCGCCCGAAGCCAUUCGGCCGAGGGCACGUCUGCCUGGGCGUCACGC